rnacentral:tRNA from 1 species
GCCCAGAUAGCUCAGUCGGUAGAGCACCUGACUUUUAAUCAGGGUGUCGGUGGUUCGAUUCCGCCUCUGGGCACCA